CUGCGCUGCGAGAACCGACAUCAUACGUUGAUGACGUCAAUGUAUCGCGAGAGCGAGUCAAGAAAUUACACUCUCGCGGUACAUUGACGUUAUCAACCUGUCAGCGCAGCAAGAACUCGAACACACGUAUUUGCGGGCGCGCGCCUCCGUCCUCGUGAGUUCAAAGUGGAUUUUAACCGUUUACCUCAGACGACAGUUUUCAUUUCUAUGGCAAAUUCUAAGGUCAUUUUCUUGUUGUGUUUUGAUGUUUUCCAUUGGCUGAAGAGCAGAUUAAUUACCAUGCAAUUUGAAGAAUUGUGAUAAAAUACACAGAGGUGAAGUCAUGUGUCUUUCCAGAUGCCCAAUCUGUACCACUCAAAAAGUAAUGAAGUGACAGUGUACCAUGACAAAAAAUAUGAGCCUGAAGAGGAGAUUUGGGAAGAUGCUGUUUAUAAGUCUUUGCUUUGCCAGAUCACCUGUGGUCGAGAUGUCUGCUAACAAGAUGCCUUGUUGGUCUGGGCGAGUUUGAAGUCUCUCACAGACAGUCCAGAAGGUCUGGAGUCCAUCUUAGCUUUUAUUGAUGCUGUCAUCAGGUUUUAAGUACAGUAUGAGCCAGAAUGGAAGGGUGUUGGUGGCCAUAAGAAGACUGUGAGCUAAACCUACAACAAAAUUCAUAUUUGCAGUUUUCCUAGAAUAUUUUUUUUCUAUUCAGAUGAAUAAAAUGACUUUUAAAUAUUAUUUUGUUUUCAUAUUUUAUGUUUUCAUU